CUCUCCCUACCAGCGGGUGUAGUCUGAUGAGGUCUAUGCGGCAGCGUUGGGUGGCAGCCAUGGAGGAAUGCUGUUUAAAUGUCCCUUCUGUCCUCAGGGGCCUUCAGAAGCCACUUCCUGAAGAUGCUCAUAGAUUCUGAGGAUUCCCCAUGUGCUGUGAUGUGAGAGUUAGGGGCAAGGGAGGAAAACAGCCAGCUCCACUACCUGUCUACCCUCCCUCCCGACCAUUGAGAAAGUUCCCUGUUAGAGAUUCAUUCCUUUGGACCAUGAAGCCUUUUGAUUCCUAUUAACCUUGAGUGAGUCACGCUUAAGCCUUUUAAACAAUUUUCUGAGUCAAUCCACGAAUAAUCACCUCCCUCCCCCUGAGGUGCGUAAAUAAGGAGAGGAGGGGCAGAGGAGCUGCCAGGGGAAGGACCAAGGAUGUGCUCUAUAGGUCAGCCCCCUGGCUCUGCCUCUCCUUGUUGGCACAGAUCAGCCUGAGGGCCGCGCCGCACACCACAGGCCCAUGACCCUCCAUCAGAGUCACCGGGCGCUGGCUGAACAAGCACCUUCAGUGAGCUCUGGAUUACAACACAGCUAUGAAAAGAAGUCAGCCGGUGCUCUCCCUACCCAUAUGGAGAGAUUGCCAGGCAGAUUCCAAAGUGGAAAAGUCAGAGGCAAUACAGGAGGGCCUGUGUGCCCAGCUCCCACUGUGAAAACCAACCCAGCUGAUGGGGGCAUAGAAUGCCAUAGUGCAGAGGAAAGUAAGACUAUGCAGUUGUAUUUGACUUAAAACCUCCAGAAAGAUAAAUAGGGAAGCAACAAAACCUACAGGGAACAGGGCAGCUGCUAAGUGAGACUCCUCAGCCAGGCCAGAGAAUGUGCAUUCUGAUGGACUGCUUCUCAUUUGCACUGAUCACUGUGAGUGUCUGAUGGGUGGGCAUCCGGCGCCCAGAGAAGGAGUUGCUCUGUUAUCCUUGCACUCCAUAAAGAACAGGUAGAAAUAAGCGCUUCUUACCAAGAUGAAAUCCACCCAUCAUUUCUGAAUGGCUCAGUUUUGAUUUCAUCUCCCAAGGU
rnacentral:lncRNA from 1 species